GACGGGGGUGGAGAUCGUGGUUAUUUCUCCAGCGGGGACAUUUUUUUAUACAAGUCUACUUGGGUGGCCAUAGGUAGAGACGGAGUUCUACCUGAAGAAUGUUUUCAGCUGCAGGUGAAAAGGGACCCUCCCCGACCCUCCACCGCCACAGCCCAGGAUCCAUUGGCUGUUGUAUGAUGUUGGUCAGCAAGGUGUCCCUGUCCCACUCCAUCAGAGGUCCCAGGAAGGAGCGGGGACCUGGGGAGCCAUGUGGGGGCAUGUUGCAGGAUCACAAGUGUGGAGCACAGAGGACCGCUUACAGGAGUCAGGUCUUUCCCUCCGCCAUGGCCAUCCUUGGGAUUAAACUCAGGGUUGUCAGGCUUGGAGGCAAGAGCCUUUACCCUCUGAGCCAUCUCGCCAGCUCUGGACUGCGAUUGAACCUGCAGUUCUUCUGCCUUCAACCCCAACCAUUGGCUAACCCUUCACUUGUCAUCCUAUGCCUGGUAAA
rnacentral:sRNA from 1 species